rnacentral:rRNA from 1 species
CCGCAAGGUGAGUGGCGCACGGGUGAGUAACACGUGGGAAUGUAUCCUUUGGUUCGGAAUAACGUUUGGAAACGAACGCUAAUACCGGAUGAGCCCUACGGGGGAAAGAUUUAUCGCCAAAGGAGCAGCCCGCGUCUGAUUAGGUAGUUGGUGGGGUAAUGGCCUACCAAGCCGACGAUCAGUAGCUGGUCUGAGAGGAUGAUCAGCCACACUGGGACUGAGACACGGCCCAGACUCCUACGGGAGGCAGCAGUGGGGAAUAUUGGACAAUGGGCGCAAGCCUGAUCCAGCCAUGCCGCGUGAGUGAUGAAGGCCUUCGGGUUGUAAAGCUCUUUCGCACACGACGAUGAUGACGGUAGUGUGAGAAGAAGCCCCGGCUAACUUCGUGCCAGCAGCCGCGGUAAUACGAAGGGGGCUAGCGUUGUUCGGAAUUACUGGGCGUAAAGGGCGCGUAGGCGGUUUUUCAAGUCAGGCGUGAAAGCCCCGGGCUUAACCUGGGAACUGCGCUUGAGACUGUAAGACUAGAGUACCGGAGAGGUGGGUGGAAUUCCCAGUGUAGAGGUGAAAUUCGUAGAUAUUGGGAAGAACACCGGUGGCGAAGGCGGCCCACUGGACGGUAA